rnacentral:rRNA from 1 species
CCCUUAGACGUUCUGGGCCGCACGCGCGCUACACUGACGAAGGCAACGAGCUUUCCUUUACCGAAAGGUACGGGUAAUCUUUUGAAACUUCGUCGUGCUGCGGAUAGAUCCUUGCAAUUUUUGAUCUUAAACGAGGAAUUCCUAGUAAGCGCAAGUCAUCAACUUGCGUUGAUUACGUCCCUGCCCUUUGUACACACCGCCCGUCGCUACUACCGAUUGAAUGGUUUAGUGAGGCCUUCGGAUCCGCGACUCGUUUUGUGGAGAAGUUGGACAAACUCAGUCAUUUAGAGGAAGUAAAAGUCGUAACA